GCUAUUGUUGCGAUUGUUUCUUUGGUAGGUAGCUGCUUAUGAAUAUAAUUGGGCUGAGUGAAAUUCAUCUUUCUUAGCGGUGAAUGAGUCUUUGACUUACUGGCGCAAACCAUUGUCACAGCUCAGGCGGAUGCAGCAGGCAAUAAGAAGAAUGUCUGAAUAAAAAGCAGGUAUGUUGAGGGUGACUUUGAUGCGUGAUGGGCGCUGGUGCUGCGGUCCACACCCAGAUCGAUCCGCUAAGGAACUGCCCCACAUCCAGAUCGAUGCCGCCCAAGAGCAAAAUCUGAAGAACAAGGUGUUAUCUCUCUUUCUCUCUUCGUAGUAGCAAUGAGUUGAUCAUGCUCAGGGCAUUUUGCGCCUUUUCCAAUUGAUCAUAUGCUAUUCUUUCAGUAUUUUCUGCUUUAGCUAAAGAUUGCAGGUUGUUGUCUACCGCAGGGGUCAUCACAGCACUGGCCUCCAUUCUUGCUUCAUUGAGUUGCCCAUCAAUGCUUAUUAGCGCAAUGCAGAGGCCUAAAAGACUAUUGAUAGGAUGACAAUAGGAGGACAAGAGAUGCCACAUUACCAAACCGGCCCUCCUCAGCCUCUUAUUUGGCAAGGAUCUGCAGGCAAGAAUGAACGCCCUCCAGUUUAGUUGCUUACAAGGCCCAUUGAUGUGGGAGACAAUAACCCCCUGGGACCAUACGAGUACAUGGCUCCAGCUUCACGUUAGGUAUGCAUAUUGAAUUUUAGUUUCAGGGGCCACUAAGUUAUCAGGUUCUUAUAAAUUCAGUUUCUAUGAUCUCUUUGGCCUUUUAGUAUGGAUGUGGCGAUCGGCUUGGAUUUUCAAACAGAUCUGAGAUUAAAAAUGAUUGUUUGCAUUUUUACGUAAGAGGAUUAUCAAAGAAGGAUGUUUCCUUAUAAACAAACCGUCCAUUCAAAGUUAUGUUUUCCCACAUGCUUACUGAUUUUUCUACAAUACUUGCAUACGAUGAUUUGUUAAGUAUUUAUGCUAUACUGAUAAAAACCGCUUCACAUGCUAGAUACGUAGCCUUGCAGCUUUCUUUUGCUCUACGUGUGAAUAGAAUCCGUCGGAGCUACUCCCUGAUGGCCAGAUUUACUUUUGAAUGCCCGUACUGCUUGCAGCGGAUGAUGUUCACAUGUUUUUCUAUCAGCCAUGGUGAACCUGGUCUGAUCAUCCGACACUUUUUAUGCAACGUUGUUGCCUACAUGACCAUGUUGUUAAACCUUGACUAAAUUUCAGUAAAAUGUACCCAGGAAUUCAAUCAGCUAUGUUAUGUAAUAUACUUAGCACAGUAUUGUGUUAGAUGAACCUGUACAUGUUUUUAUCUAUCUAUGCUGGGAUUUAUGCUACGACAUUAAACUUAUAUGCUCUCCAUCAGACGUAUUCACAAGACUGUCAUAUAGCCUAAAUCCAAAAUGCAGUUCUAUGUACAAUUCCAUCCUCAUUGACAUUUAGGACAUCAGAUUUUUAUCGUUUUUAUACAAAAUCUACAUUUGCACGGAUUUCACGGGAUCGUGCGCCAAGGCGCACAUAUAAA